UACGGAGGGUGCAAGCGUUACUCGGAAUCACUGGGCGUAAAGGGCGCGUAGGCGGCCUAGCAAGUCUGGUGUGAAAGCCCAGGGCUCAACCCUGGAAGGGCACUGGAACCUGUUAGGCUUGAGUUACGGAGAGGAGGGGGGAAUUCCCGGUGUAGCGGUGAAAUGCGUAGAUAUCGGGAGGAAUACCGGUGGCGAAGGCGCCCCUCUGGACUGAAACUGACGCUGAUGCACGAAAGCGUUGGGAGCAAACCGG
rnacentral:rRNA from 1 species